GCUGGGUGUGGUGGCGGGCACCUGUAAUCCCAGCUACUUGGGAGGCUGAGGCAGGAGAAUUGUGUGAACCCGGGAAGUGGAGGUUGCAGUGAGCUGAGAUUGCACCACUGCACACUCCAGCCUGGGUGACAGAGCGAGACUCUGUCUCAA
rnacentral:SRP_RNA from 1 species